rnacentral:tRNA from 1 species
GGUCCGGUAGUGUAGUGGUAAGCGUGGUUGUCUCUCACUCCAGUUGGCCUGGAUUCAAUUCCAGUCGGUCCA